CGGGCUUUCCCCAUGAAACAAGCAGUCUGCAAACAGAAAGCCUCGUAUUGCUAAUGCUUCCAGGAGGGAAGCUGGUCUGAGUACUAGAAUUAUCUUGGAAUUUUUCUCAACAUUCAUUCCUCUGUGCACCUCAAGAAUUGCCAAAGGUUCGGGCUGGCAGUUAUUUGCUCAGAAUAGAUUCCAAGAAAUCGAAUCAUGAGAUCGAAGGAGAUCAACAAGUUUGUGGCUCUUGAGACACAAUGCCAAAUAUCCUUCUAGAGAGCUGGCAGAUAUCAGAAACCUCUUCUCAGCUUUAGAGAUGCUUUUCACACAGACAGAAGAUUUCCUCUCCACACCAGAGGCAGCAGGAUAAGAUGUACCAUCAGACCGCACUGGCUUACCGUGGUGACAAGAAAGAAGAGGCCCUGACUGGGGGAAACUAAAGACUUUGCCUGGCAACCUAGAGACUUUAUCAUCGCAGGAGAUGGAUAACCAAGAUGAAACCAUGAGACAACAUUCUGGGCCAAGCAGUGAGCAAUGAGGAGACCCAGACCCCAGGUUCCUGGCUGUGUCUUUGGCUAAAAAGAAGAGGCAUUAAGACAGAUUCCCUGAGGAUACUUCAAGAACCCUGAAAUUGCCUUGCUCACAUACCACCACACUAGAGAUGUUUCAGAAAAGCAGCUUCCCUUUUGGUGCCUCCAAUCCAGAAUGACUCCAGGACCCACCGAGAGGUGAGGCAGAGAGGACAAGGCAAGGACAAAACUUCUUUGGACUAUUUUCUGCACAUCCCCAGCAGAGAUUGAUGAAUGCCUCUGAGUCAGCAAAAUCUCCAGUGGUGAAACAGAAAGCGUACACUCCACACAUUCAAGCAGCCAGGCCAGCCCACACGGAGAAGAGGAUGUUCACAUCCAGCCUGUUCAGUGGACCCCAUGGGGCAUUUCAAAGGCUAUUACAUUUCCAGGACCUUCUAUCACACCCCCUUUCUUCCAUCCCUGCUAAUAUUUGUGACUUUCCAGCUUUCUUCUCUGAAAUUAAAAUCAAACCUUUGCAAAGUGAAAAUCAGUUCAUCUGAGCUA
rnacentral:lncRNA from 1 species